GUGCCGUGGGUAUGAGAGGUCCAAAGUCCACUGCACUAAGGGGAUAAAACCCAGACACCUUCCACUCUUGGAUCGGGAUUGUGAGAAAAGCCCAGGAACACAGUUUUGGGCAAACAUCUAGGCGGAAGACAGGCGUCUCCAAGCAUCUCCCACUUGUCUGUGAAAAAUGACAUGGCUACAGUUUUGUAAGGAAGAAGAGAGAGGAAAAAAGAAAUCCAUAAAUAUCAUCAAGAAAGAAGAGACC